GACGAACGCUGGCGGCGUGCUUAACACAUGCAAGUCGAACGGUGAAAGGGAGCUUGCUCCCUGGAUCAGUGGCGAACGGGUGAGUAACACGUGGGCAACCUGCCCCAGACUUCGGGAUAACGCUUCGAAAGAGGUGCUAAUACCGGAUACGAACUCCUUGGGCAUCCUUGGGGUUGGAAAGUUUUUCGGUCUGGGAUGGGCCCGCGGCCUAUCAGCUUGUUGGUGAGGUAACGGCUCACCAAGGCGACGACGGGUAGCCGGCCUGAGAGGGCGACCGGCCACACUGGGACUGAGACACGGCCCAGACUCCUACGGGAGGCAGCAGUGGGGAAUAUUGCGCAAUGGGCGAAAGCCUGACGCAGCAACGCCGCGUGAGGGAUGACGGCUUUCGGGUUGUAAACCUCUUUCAGCAGGGAAGAAGCGAAAGUGACGGUACCUGCAGAAGAAGCACCGGCUAACUACGUGCCAGCCGCCGCCGUAACAC
rnacentral:rRNA from 1 species